AAGAGCAGUUUAGAUUAUAAAUACUAGAGAAACAUGAAGAAGGUACAGAAUUAUUUCUGCAGAAAUAGAUAGGAUAGAAUAGAUGAAAUAAAUCUUACUUUCAUUGGGCCUGAAAGGAUAGAGAAAAUUUGGAUCAUUUAGAAUGAAGGAAACAUCCCAGCAAAUGGAAGCAGAGACAAGGGGAGUAUAAACUGCAUUCUAGGUCCAAGAGGAGACAGGACCAACUGAAGUGAAGGAUUUUAUAGGCCAGCUCUACAUAAGACUAGAAAGUUAAGCCUAUAGUCCAUCCUGGCAGUUAAAAAUGCAGCAAAGGCCGGGUGCGGUGGCUCAAGCCUGUAAUCCCAGCACUUUGGGAGGCCGAGGCGGGUAGAUCACGAGGUCAGGAGAUCAAGACCAUCUUGGCUAACACGGUGAAACCCCGUCUCUACUAAAAAUACAAAAAAUCAGCUGGGCGUGGUGGCGGGCGCCUGUAAUCCCAGCUACUCAGGAGGCUAAGCCAGGAGAAUGGCGUCAACCCGGGAGGCAGAGGUUGCAGUGAGCCGAGGAUCGUGCCAUUGCACUCCAGCCUGGGCAACAGAGCAAGACUCUGUCUCAAAAAAACAAAAACAAAAACAAAAAACAAAAACAAAACCUUAAUUUGUUUGGGUUUAUAUUUAAGGAGGUGCUUCUAACAGCCCCAAGGUACCUAUCUCCAUACUUAAUUGUUGGUUCCGAGUUCCAGUGAGGCACUUAUUUGUUGAAAAACGAAUUUUCGGCCACCCCCACACUACAAAUCCCUUACAUAGCUUUGUUUAUUCCAUGGAAUGCUUGGCUUUUAUAGGCCUGUCCUUUCAUUAGUGUUGUUCAUCUCACCUUCUGUUAUGCCAUAGGCAAAAUACAGUCAUUCACUUUUAAAUGCUCUUUAAUGAUAAAGCCAAGAAAAAUGGGACAGAUUGAAACCAU
rnacentral:lncRNA from 1 species